GAGGACGGAAGCCUCCGAGCCCCGCAGGCCUUCGACGGAGGAUCCGUCAUGGAGGCGGGGCCCAUAGGGCGGUACCGGAAACGGUUCCGCCUCCCGGAUUUGGAAAGGAGCAUCUGAUGAUGGAC
rnacentral:ncRNA from 2 species